CUCAACCAUGGAGCCAUCUCUCCAGCCCCUAAAAAAAAAUUCUUUUUAAAGUAAGAAAUAAAGGCUGGCAAGAUGGCUCAGCAGGUAAAAACUCUGGCCACCAAACCUUACAAGCAGGGUUCUAUCCCUGGGCCCCACGAGGUAGAAAGAGAGAAGCUCCUCCUACAAGCUGCCUUCUGACCUUGCCGCAUGUGUUAUGGCAUGCACACUCACACAAUAAAUGUGAUUUAAGGAAACAAAGAAAUUCCAGAUAUGGAGGAGGCUGCAGGCUUCGGAGUGCUGGGGGCUGGGGAAACUUGAAAAAGCUAGGUGGUCUCAUCAGCUCCUUGAAGAAACCCCUGUCUGGCUUGAGCCAGGCCUCAGCUCGGAAGACCCCGAAGCAGGUCCUCCCUGCUCCCAAAGCCUGUGGAUCUAGGUGUGGCUGCCGUUGAAGCGCAGCAUAGAGGAUGCGAAUCCAGCCUUUCACAAGCUGGGGAUGCUGAGAGAUGUAGCAAGAUCUGCAGCGCUUGCAGGGGGUGAGAGGUGAGAGCAGCACCCUCAGGGCAGUGUGCCAGGCUCAGACUGGGGCCUUCCCCAAGGGCUGGCAGCCAGAAGCCAGAGGUGCUCCCGAUUCUGCUGAGCACUCGCAGGUCCUCUCUGCACCCUUGAGAGCAUUUCUCAUUAGGCUCUAUGUGCGAGCGGGGUGCCUGGCUUCCUCGGGUCCAACAACCGUGCUGUCCCCGCCUGCUCCUGGGUGGUGGCUCCCCUGCCUCUGGACUGCAGCUCCCACUCCCACCGGCGGCACAGAACUGGGGGUGGAGCAGCCUCACAGCUGUUUGCUCCCAGGCAGCAUGGCUAAGUAGUUCACAGCUCUGGCUCUGAGUCAGAACCCGCCCAUUUCAAUCCCUCUGCUGCCAUUACUAUCUUUGUGGCCCUGGGCGACUUAACUCCGUUAUGCUUCAUCUGUGCAGCAGGGAUAAUGAUAGACCUUCAUACUGGCCCUGAGCUUUACUAUGAUAAUGCAGAGAAGGCACUCAGCUUGGUCCACCUCUACCUCCUGGAGCCGAGGGCCCUGUUCUUGUUCCUUCUCUCUUUCUUUUUAAAUUUUAUUUACUUUAUGUACGUUGGUGUGAAGGUGUCAGAUCUCCUGGACAGUGGUGGGCUGCCAUGUGCAUGCUGGGAAUUGAAUUCCGCCGGAAGAGCAGCCAGUGCUCCCAGCUGCUAAGCGUCUCUCCGGUCCCUGCCCUGUUCCUGUGGAACAGCUAGCCCCCUGCCUCAGCACUCUGCUGUCUCUCUCCCUCCCAUCUGUGUUGCCCUCUGUUCACAUGUCCAUCUCCGCCUGUGGGCCAGAGCACCACUAGGUCAAAGAUAACAUUGUAUGUGUCUGUGUUCUUGGUGCCCAGCACAGGGCUUGGCCUAUUUGACAAGAGGAAUGUGAAUUCACUGUUGGAAGGAAUUGGUGAGGCCGUAUAGAAGACCCAGAAGACGGAGACUGGAGGGAUGGCUCAGCAGUUAGGAGUACGGGCUGCCUUUGCAGAAGACCUGGAUUUGGUUCCAAGCUCCCACAGAGUGAUUCACAACUCCAGGGUAUCUGACACAUUCUUCUGGCCCGCACGGCCACCAGACUCCCACGUGGUGCACAUACAUGGAGACAAUGAAGAAAAAAGCCAGUCCUCUAGGAGCCUGUUACUGUUAUUCCCACGCUGCCUCGGGAAGGUAAAUCUGCUCAAAGGCGAUCAGCGGGCUGCAGUAGCUAGGAUUUGAAUCCAGACAUCAGGACCCAGCACCUUCUUUCCUAACCCUUGGGUGGUCCAGCCAAAGAGCUAAAUGAACGUCUCGACCAACCGCACGGCACUCCUUAGCAGCCCUGGCCCCAGCAGGUCCGCCAGAAUAAUGGAGAAAACGACACCAAGAAUCCAUUCCAAACGAACAACCAAGAGGAGAUGGCAGCUCCCAGAUGUUGAUGUUUUGUUUUUUGACAUAAAUCUUCGCACUCAUAUGGGAGUUUUCAUUGAUUCAUGUUCCCAUCUGCUGAAUUUCCUUUUAUUUAUUUAAUAUGGCUUUUUGGGGAAAUCUUGCUUCGAAGCUCUGGAGAAGCAUAAAGCGUGGCAACCGCUGCAGUCCUCCUUCCUCUUCCAAGCCGAGGCUGCUGGGGGGCAGGGAUAUGCGGUGGCGGCCUGCAGAGGGGGUGCUGGGCGUCCUCGAUGGGGGUGGGCCCUGCAGACCUGCGCUAACGUGGCGAUUCUGCCUCUUGGAGCCUUCCAGAGGCAGGGAGAGGGAGGAAGGGAAGAAGAGGGGGUAGACUGGCCGACUUCCUUGUGUUUCCUGCUAACCUUCAAUACUACGCUCCUUUUCUUUCGUACUAACAUGCAGUUUCCUUUUGACACAUUGGGUACCAGGGAACAUCUAAUAGUGGACAUCAAUAUUAAUAUGAUGGUGUAUCUCCCCCUCCAUCCUUUACCCUUCCACCCCAAUAGUGAUCCAUCAGCAAUUACAGACUCCAACUCGGGAAUCAGCCUGAAUCUUGACGAGUUUCCAGAGGGAAUGCCUGAACAAAUUAACUUUUUAGAGCUUUGGAUUUCCUACAUAGAAAAUAAGAAUAAUUACUACAUCCUUGAUACAAGUUAUAUUUUACAGAUAAGGAAACCGAUGCAGAAACAAAUUGGGGCAUUGUCCAACUCAUCUCCACCCAAACACACAUCUCUACAGACCUGACCACUCCAGCUCCUCCCAAGAAUUCAACUUAAACCAUUUGCCUGGCAAAUAUCAGAGCCUUUUUUUUUUUCCAUGAGUCAGAAGAAAAGGCUAGAAGUGAGUAAUUCAAAAGGAUGGCUAAUUGAGAACAAUAUUCACUGAACUUGGAAAAAUGGGAUCAAACUUGGGGGAAAUCUAGACGUCAUCCUCUUGGGUCCCUCACCUAAUCCGUACUGUCCUUUCUGACAAGCAGGGAGACUUCACUUUUGCUGGCACCUGUUCUAGUGGAGGAUACUUUGAGACAUUAAGAGCCCCUAAGGCCAGGUGUAGUGGUGCACAAGAGGCAGAGGCAGGUGGAUCUCUGAGUUUGAGGCCAGCCUGGUCUACCUAGAGCGUUCCAGGACAGCCAGGCUGUCUCACCCUUCUCCCAAAAAAGCCCUAUAGAUUAUGGGAUAGGAGUAUUUGAAUGUUAGAGCCACACAGACCACACCCCUUAAGACCUAUCUUUGUCCUAUAGCUGUGAAGGUCAGUUCUGAGGAGAAUGGAGUUUCCCAUGUUGUGUGGCCUUUUCCUGAGAAGGAUGAACAGAUGUCUGUUCAUCCCAGAUAGGGCACCAACCACAGACUGAAGAAACAAUCUUAGCCAAGUAUAGCUUGGUAAGCCAAUGAGUUUAAUCAGGAGCCUGGGUAAUGGUUUAUGUACAGGAAUGCUUUCAACUUAUGGGCAGCUACACCACUAAAGAAAAGCCUCUCUCCCAGCAACCAGCACCUGCCUAUGUAUUAUGCUUGGGGAGGGCCAGAGCUGUGUGAAGCCCUCCUCCCUCUGUUACUGAUGUUAAUGGGCCCAGUCUUGUGUGAAUCUCAUGUUCUCAUAGCUGCUGAGAGUACAGUUGGACAACAGCCAUGCCGUGCCAGGAGGACAGUGCUCUACGACACCCGAGGUCACUUGAAGUGUAGCACUAGACUACAGUGCCAUCUUUUGGGGGUUGGCACUGCUUCCCUAUGCAUAUAUCUCACCCAGCCCAACCUUCUCUCCAUGUUCUGGGGGGAACCUCUCCUGGCUCGGCAUAUGCACCUGGAUAUUUGAGGCGGAUUUGGUUCUGUGUUUGCUGAGUCUUUGCACACAUCUGUAACCUUCAUCCAUCCAUGCUGUUUUCUGGAACCCCUUUGAACAGUAAACCACACAAUAUUGGCUCGUGUGCUUCAAACGGCCCAGGAAGUGGACACUCAAAAUGUGUUCAGUGAAAAAUGAGAUCAUAUGAAAGACUGUUCCUCUUCACUUUGCCCAAAAGCCACCUAGGCUGAAACCAUGACUUCACUGGCGAACUAAAGCCUACUCAUCCAAUCCAUUAUUUGUCCUUGAGAUAGCUGAAACAGAGCAUGCACCUCACAUAAAAAUCCAAAAAACAGGGGCUGGAGAGAUGGCUCAGCGGUUAAGAGCUCUGACUGCUCUCCUGGAGGUCCCGAGUUCAGUUCCCAGCAACCACUUGGUGGCUCACAGCCAUCUGUAAUGAGAUCUGGUGCCCUCUUCUGACCUGCAAGGACACAUGCAGGGAUUCUGGAUCUUUAGCUCCGUGGUAGAGUGCCUGCUUAACAUGAGUGGGGCCCUAGUUUGAUCCCAAGAUCACACACAGAAAAGAUGGAGAGCGUCCAUCACAGACAUGUGCAAUAGUUACGAUAUGUGUAACCAGAUGGCGAUAUGGGGGACGGUUAGUUAACUGCUCAUAUGCACAUUUUGGGUAUCUUCUGGACAUGUUACACUUCACAAUAAAGUUGUUUAGAUAUAACUUACCUGGUAAGUUGUGUGUGCGCUGAGGGAGACAAUGGGUUUAAAGCUCUAGCCAAUAGUAGUGUAGUAGGCCGUCAGUGGAAACGAGUUUUUCAUGGUGAGGGAAUGAUUUGAAGCCGUGGAGAAGGCCACAUAAUCAGUCACUGGCAAUAUUAAGAAAGCCCUUUCCUCCAAAGCAUUGACUGCCUAUUUUUGUGUGUACGUAUAUACGGGAGUAGGGGUGUUUACUGAUGUGGAGAAAUGGACAGCUACUAACCCAGUGCAGAGUUGGAAAACAUUACUCUGAAGCCCCCAGAGAAGACAUGGAGGGAAGGGAUAGGAAAACUGGCUGACUCCAGAGGUUCUGGACGAGAGGCCUAAGAGCUGAAAGGAGAAACUUCCACAGGACUCAUAGGAAGGGACCAGGUCUCAGGUUCCAGUAGACCCCUGGAGGGCUCACCUAAGCCCACCUGGCUGUCUCAUGCUUUGGGCAGCGUGGAUGAGACUUGAGAAGCCAGCCCAGGCGACAGUGGGUUGGCCCAGGCCCAGCUCAUUGAUGGUGAGGAAAGCCGUUCUGCUGAUCGUGCUCUAAAGGCACCGUGGAAGUGGCCAAGAGUGCUCACCCAGCCAAAAGGCACUGGAAUCAGCCGGGGAGGCCAGGGAAAUCUGGCCAGAGCCUUCUAGCCAGGAGAUGCCAGCAGAACUGUGCACCUCUGGAUACAAGCCUUUUGAAGGUCUCAGAGCCAAGACUGCUCCGGCCAAGCCAGCCAUACGCUCCAAGAUAGGGCUGCCCAGACGGAGCCUGGUUUGGGGUACUGGGAACGGCCUCUUUUCCCCAGUGUCUCUGUCUACCCUGUGAUGUCACCACACGAUGCCAUAGACGGGACCACAAACAACGGAAGCGUGUUCUGCUGCUGGUACUGGAGGCUAGAGAGCUCAAGAUCAAGGAGCCAUAUUUGACAAAGGCCUUCCUGCUGCACUGUAACAUGGCAGAGGGGCAUUGCAAGCACACCAAACAGAAAGACAGGACAAGAAAGAGAGGGAUAAGCCCGCUGUCGGAGCCCUCACGGCUCUAUCCUUUCUUGAAGGUCUUCCCCUUAAGGUCGGCACAAUGGCCAAUUUCAGAUUGAGUUUGGGGACGGAUGUGUGAGACCACAGCACCACCUGCCUCCACCCUGUGUGUUGACACACGCCCUGGUCAGUGAAAGUACCAGAGACAAGAUGUUGAAAGCUUGAACCCACAACCAACACUGUGGAUGCUCUUGACCCUUUAGGAUUUCUUUCACUCUCCUCUAAUUUGUUCUAGUUAACUUAGUUCCAUUAUUCAAUUCUGUAGGGGCCCCCAGACACAACUGAUGCCAUGUCGGAAGUACCAUUCAGGCCAUAAAACGCAGCACGCAGACAGCACCACCCGCCAGAGUGAAAACAAAGACCUAAUCCAUCAAAGCCCACGGUUCUGGGAAAGUCUCUAAAUGGACUCACCUUGCUUUUCGCCUUCUGUAGUUCUGCUUCUGGCUAGCUGUUCUUGCUAACUGAAGUAUGUCAACACAAAAUAUAUGAGUGGUUUUUUUUUUGUUUUGGGGUGUGUGUGUGUGUGUGUGUGUGUGUGUGUGUGUGUGUGUGUGCUCACCCUGAGAAAGACUACUGAGUAUUUGGGAUCUCGAGCACUCAAUGUAGCUACCGGCCAGCUAAUAAAGA